UACAGAGGUCUCAACCGUUGUUCGGAUUCAUUGGGCGUAAAGGGUGCGUAGGCGGUCGUGCAAGUCGGAUGUGAAAUCUCAGGGCUCAACCCUGAAACUGCAUUCGAUACUGCGCGGCUAGAGUGCUGGAGGGGAGACUGGAAUUUACGGUGUAGCAGUGAAAUGCGUAGAGAUCGUGAGGAAGACCAGUUGCGAAGGCGGAUCUCUGGGCAGUUCCUGACACUGAGGCACGAAGGCCAGGGGAGCAAACGGG
rnacentral:rRNA from 1 species